CCUACGGGUGGCAGCAGUGAGGAAUAUUGGUCAAUGGGCGGAAGCCUGAACCAGCCAAGUCGCGUGAGGGAAUAAGGCCCUACGGGUCGUAAACCUCUUUUGCCGGGGAGCAAGGGCCGGGACGCGUCCCGGCCCGGAGAGUACCCGGAGAAAAAGCAUCGGCUAACUCCGUGCCAGCAGCCGCGGUAAUACGGAGGAUGCGAGCGUUAUCCGGAUUUAUUGGGUUUAAAGGGUGCGUAGGCGGCCUUUUAAGUCAGCGGUGAAAGUCUGUGGCUCAACCAUAGAAUUGCCGUUGAAACUGGGGGGCUUGAGUAUGUUUGAGGCAGGCGGAAUGCGUGGUGUAGCGGUGAAAUGCUUAGAUAUCACGAAGAACCCCGAUUGCGAAGGCAGCUUACUAAACUGUGACUGACAUUGAUGCUCGAAAGUGUGGGUAUCAAACAGGAUUAGAUACCCUUGUAGUC
rnacentral:rRNA from 1 species